UACGUAGGGUGCAGGCGUUAAUCGGAAUUACUGGGCGUAAAGCGCGCGCAGGCGGUUCUUUAAGUCAGGGGUGAAAGCCCAGAGCUCAACUCUGGAAUUGCCUUUGAAACUAGAGAACUUGGGUACGGGAGAGGUGAGUGGAAUUCCGAGUGUAGAGGUGAAAUUCGUAGAUAUUCGGAAGAACACCAGUGGCGAAGGCGGCUCACUGGCCCGUUACCGACGCUCAGGCGCGACAGCGUGGGGAGCAAACAGG
rnacentral:rRNA from 1 species